UACGGGAGGCAGCAGUGGGGAAUAUUGCACAAUGGGCGCAAGCCUGAUGCAGCCAUGCCGCGUGUAUGAAAAAGGCCUUCGGGUUGUAAAGUACUUUCAGUCGUGAGGAAGGUGUUAAGGUUAAUAACCUUAGCAAUUGACGUUAGCGACAGAAGAAGCGCCGGCUAACUCCGUGCCAGCAGCCGCGGUAAUACGGAGGGUGCGAGCGUUAAUCGGAAUUACUGGGCGUAAAGGGCACGCAGGCGGUUAAUUAAGUUGGAUGUGAAAUCCCCGGGCUUAACCUGGGAAUGGCAUUCAAGACUGGUUAGCUAGAGUCUUGUAGAGGGGGUAGAAUUCCAUGUGUAGCGGUGAAAUGCGUAGAGAUGUGGAGGAAUACCGGUGGCGAAGGCGGCCCCUGGACAAAGACUGACGCUCAUGUGCGAAAGCGUGGGGAGCAAACAGGGAUUAGAUACC
rnacentral:rRNA from 1 species